UCUGGCUUCUGGCAGUCAUCUGCUUGAGCAUGUGACAAGCAAAACGCGUCGUCGUGUUUAAAUAUUAAAUUAUAAAUUUUUUUUUUUGAUUUUAACGUAGUUGUUUUUUAUUUCUUUAUACUUUUGACGAUUUUAUUCUUGAGGCAUUAUGUGAAUUAUAUUGAUCGUUUUGAACAACAGUAUAAUUAUUACUAUCUCAUCAUUUCUUUACAGUCACCAAAUGAUAUUGUAUUGCUUUUUGACUCACMGCUAACUUAACUAAUGGAAAAUCAAAUUAAAAUAAAACCCACAACAAGUGAUCUAAUAGCUGCAAGAAAAAAGGAAUUUCUGGAAACAAAUAAUAUGAAAGGYCGUCAAAUGUAUGACCAUGUGCAAGAUGAUUUCAAAAAUUUUUGAUAAGUAUACAACUUACUGUGAAUGAUGGUAUUGUGUUAACUGAUUGCAUAACAAUAUAUUGACAAUUGAUGGCACAAAUCAG